rnacentral:rRNA from 1 species
GAUCAUGGCUCAGGAUGAACGCUGGCGGCGUGCUUAACACAUGCAAGUCGAACGGAACUCCUAUGAACGAGGUUUCGGCCAAGUGAAUAGGAUGUUUAGUGGCGGACGGGUGAGUAACACGUAUCCAACCUGCCGUCUACUCUUGGACAGCCUUCUGAAAGGAAGAUUAAUACAAGAUGGCAUCAUGAGUCCGCAUGUUCACAUGAUUAAAGGUAUUCCGGUAGACGAUGGGG